rnacentral:rRNA from 1 species
GUGGGGAAUAUUGGGCAAUGGAGGAAACUCUUACCCAGCAAUGCCGCGUGAGUGAUGAAGGUCUUAUGGAUUGUAAAGCUCUUUGAUUGGGGACGAAUAAAUGACGGUACCCAAAGAACAAGCCCCGGCUAACUAUGUGCCAGCAGCCGCGGUAAUACAUAGGGGGCGAGCGUUGUCCGGAAUGACUGGGCGUAAAGGGUGUGUAGGCGGUUUAUCAAGUUAGAAGUGUAAUACCUAGGGCUUAACUCAGGUGCUGCUUCUAAAACUGAUAGACUUGAGUGUGGGAGAGGAUGAUGGAAUUCCUAGUGUAGCGGUGGAAUGCAUAGAUAUUAGGAGGAACACCAGAGGCGAAGGCGAUCGUCUGGACCAUAACUGACGCUGAGGCACGAAAGCGUGGGGAGCAAACAGGAUUAGAAACCCGAGUAGUCC